UACUGCAGCGAAAAGCAAAUACCUAGAAUAAUAUUUAUAACCCAUUUGUAUGGUACUAGGAACGAUUUUCCGCCUUGUUUUUAUACGAGCAAUCGUGUGAUAUGAUUUUCUCCUCCAGCAAACCAACCAAAGUAGAAAUAAUACCAAAAUCCUCACCAAAACCUCUCUUUUUAUACCUAAGGUCAUUAACCGGUGUAACAAAUUAGAACAAUUUAACUUAAUGCUU